UACAGAGACUGCAAGCGUUAUUCGGAUUCACUGGGCGUAAAGGGUGCGCAGGCGGCCAAGUGUGUGAGGCGUGAAAGCCCGAAGCUUAACUUCGGAAUUGCACCUCAAACUACAUGGCUAGAGCAUUGGAGAGGGUAGCGGAAUUCACGGUGUAGCAGUGAAAUGCGUAGAUAUCGUAAGGAAGACCAGUGGCGAAGGCGGGUCUCUGGACAGUUCCUGACGCUGAGGCACGAAGGCCAGGGGAGCAAACGGG
rnacentral:rRNA from 1 species